rnacentral:rRNA from 1 species
UACGUAGGGGGCAAGCGUUAUCCGGAUCUACUGGGUGUAAAGGGAGCGUAGGUGGUUUGGUAAGUCAGAUGUGAAAGCCCGGGGCUCAACCCCGGGACUGCAUUUGAAACUAUCAGACUAGAGUGUAGGAGAGGUAAGUGGAAUUCCUAGUGUAGCGGUGAAAUGCGUAGAUAUUAGGAGGAACACCAGUGGCGAAGGCGGCUUACUGGACUAUAACUGACACUGAGGCUCGAAAAGCGUGGGGAGCAAACAGG